rnacentral:lncRNA from 1 species
GACCAUUGAGCCCAAUCCCACCUCAUCUUUUCAGGGUCCCAUGAGGGAGGGAUGGGGGGGAGGGAGCGCCACAUCGCGCUCUCUGCCCCGUCACUUCCGGCUUGCCCUUGGCCGCCGCCACUCCCUCUCUUGCACUCGGUCGCCGCCGCCGCUCUUGUUUGUUAUAUGAUGUUUGUAAGACUAUAAUGUUGUUGCUCUGUGUUUUGUUAGAAUUUUUUGUUUUGUGAACAAAAUAGAGCUCUAGAGGACCAGGGAUGUUCUAUUUUUGUUCUAACCUUACUUUUUUGUGAAAUUUUAUUCUAAAUGUAGAAUUAAAGAUGAAGAGGAAUGGUGACAUCAAAUCCUUUUUUUGGAAUUAUGAAGCAAAAAUAGGAAAGGUUGCAGGCGAAGAACAACCUGAACCUGAUAUUGAUCCACCUCUAGUACAUUCGAAUACAACGAUUGUCAUUGAUAUUGAUCCACCUUCAGUCCAUUCUGAUCUAGAGAUUGACAUUGUUAUUGAUCCACGUCCAAUACAUUUCGGUCGAGAGAUUGUCAUUGACAUUGACGAUGAAACCCCCAAAAAUGAAAAGCAAAAAUAAACCAUAAACCGUAAACCCUAAAACCAUAAAACCCUACCCCCCCCACCCACCCCCCUGAAAACACAAAAUCUUUAAUUCCGAUUGAUGACACCAACCGGGACUAAAGGUCCUCCAUCCCCUGCCGCACGCUCGUGGUCACGUGGAGGGACUUUAGUCCCGGGUUGUGAUGAAAGUCCCGGUUGGCGACCCAUGAUUAAAUCCCUUUCCCAACCGAGAUUAAAUUUCCGUUCUCCACUAGUGAGGGUCUGUCCGUGAAACGAGGGAAGUUGAGCAACCGCCCCGCUUGCGCAUGGUAGAGUCCCUGGUAUACAAUGAAAUACCAGGCUUGGCUCGGAGUGCUCGUCUUGACGCGCACUUAUCCUACCAAGACUUAGUGCCUGUUCAGAAGUCCACCAGCUCUCAAAAACAUGAGAAUCUGCAGAGCGUCAAUUUCUCUGCUCCGUUAUCUGCAACUGCAGCUCCGUCCGCUCCGGAAGCAGAGUGGAGAGCCUCCAAACAGGCCCCUAAAAAACACAUUCUUUAUACAGCAUUAUGUGUGGAUUAACAUGAACCAUAAUAUUACGAUAUAUGUUUCGUGCAGCACAUGAUGGAUCCAUAAUUCAUAACAACAAUGAUAAAUACGGGGGACAGAGUCAUCUGAAAACCAUCUCACAAAGCGGUAGUACAUUUCUAUAAUAAGACGCCAUUAGGGAUCUGAAGCAAGGAUAGGUAAUGUGUCUACCAACCUUCUGCUGAGCCCUUGCUCACCUUUAUGAUGCACACUACCUGUGUAAUAGUAUUGCUGGCAGACAUAUCUUUCUUCUUUAGCCCUUUACAUAUACCUAGCUCUGCUAACUAGGAGAGGACACACGAGUGGAUGUUGGUUUGCAGGAAAAGAUUUGUAGAACAUCAAAUACACAAACAAGUGGCAUCAAUUUGGAGUUGGAUGUGUGUUGUGUGUUGGGAAUGAGGGGCAUGCGGAACACGUCCUAUGUUCUAGCUUGCAUGAGACUUGCUCCACUUCCAAUAGUAUGUAACGUAAGCAACAAUGAAGCGCGUGACAGGGUUGCCUGUAGAGGAGGCCGACACUGACUAGCUGGUGGAGGGAGCUUUGCAGAAGAAUCUCAACAUGUACAGGCUCAAGAGAUUGAAGAAAGAUCUGACGAAUAAGUGUCCGGAGCGCCAUUUGCCACAGAGUGAAAAAGUGGCUCAACACAUGACAGCAAAACACCUCCACGGCAGCUUGACAUAUUACACGACACACCUCCACGGCUAUUGCAAGAUGCUACGAAAGGAUGACAUUCAGAGCACACCUGCAUGUAUUGCAAUAUAUGGCUUGACAGUAGGUACAGAGGGAUUACAUGCUACGUGAUAUCCGUGGCGUCCUUUAGGGCAACACAACGUUAAUGUGAUUGUGUUAGAUACGACGGGUGAGUAAAAUUUCUUAUACGAAAUUUACAUCUACUGGACAACGCGACUUAUCAAUUCACAUUAAUAUGAAUAUGAAUUUACAGAAACAUCAUUGUCUAGAAAAAAUGAAACAAAAUCAAUAAUGAGAAAAUAGAUCACAACAGACAGUCAUGUCCAUAAGUCCAUUGCGGUUGAGCCUACCAGACAACUCAAGCUGCAAAGUUCGGUUGAAAAUCAAAAUCAAUAGUUCGGUUGAACACCAGACGACCAAUACGGCAGGGGACGGUGGCCACACAUACAAGGUGGUAGUCCGGUAUAGGAUUUAGCUUAUUUUAGUUAAACUCACAAAAUAUCGAUCUUUUUAUGUAAAUUAUAUCCUAACUUGAAUGAAAUCCGUUUAGUUUGCACAGAUUUCAUUUAACUAAUAUCCGUUUAGUAGGUACAGAGGGAGUACAUGCUACUG